rnacentral:rRNA from 1 species
AGAAUCAACGCUGGCGGCGUGCCUCAGACAUGCAAGUCGAACGCGAAAGUCCCCUUCGGGGGGCAAGUAGAGUGGCGCACGGGUGAGUAACACGUAGGUACUCUACCUUCGGAUGGGGAAUAACAAUCGGAAACGGUUGCUAAUACCGCAUAAUGCAGCGGCACCUAAUGGUGACAGUUGUUAAAGCGGGGGAUCGAAAGACCUCGCGUCUGAAGAGGAGCCUGCGGCGGAUUAGCUAGUUGGUAAGGUAAUGGCUUACCAAGGCUACGAUCC